CAGAAGAAAAGCAGAAAGAAAAUGGGAAAGAAGAGGCAGUUGUUCAGCACCAUUCAUGGCAUAUCCGGCGGCGCCAAGGGAGGCGAUCGGCUAGCCGGAGAGUGGGCUUCCUUUUGGGAGCAGCGACGACGCAAUUUGUGGCCGGAAUUGAAAGAUCCGGCGAGGUGAGAAGAGUAGGGGCAGUUCGGAAAUUUCAAUUUUUCGGCGAGUUCUGUCAAGGUUUGGCCGAUCAGAGGACAUAUCCGGACUCUCUUCAGCUAAAACUUUCCAAUGACACUAAUUUUGUAGCGAUCGGACUCCGUAUGAAAAUCGAUAGACGAUACUAUCUGUGAUUUUCUCUGGAUGAUCAGGGACUGGGUUGGAGAAUCGGGUGCUAGAAUCAUCGUUUACUCAUUGUCUUGAGUCUGUAGGCGCGCUCGGAUCGUUGAUCGGACUCCGGCGGCUAAAGGCGAGUCAACCAUUUAUCAAGCGUCUCAGUAAUUCUCUAGUCAUUGAUUUUAGAGUUCAUUGAUAAAAUUAUGUGUGUUAUUUAAUUGUGUUGAACAUUAGAAAAAUAUUGUGAGUUAAAAUAAUUAAUUGUCGGACCGUCUGUAAAUAGUCGUGAUUUGUGAUAUGUGGCAGAGUCGGAAAAAAUAGUGAAAUCUUGGGGAUCCAACUCCUGCUAAAUAAAUUGUUGAAAUAUUUGAAGUAUUUUCUGGCAGGUCCUGGACCCGUUUUACGGGGGGGUAAACAUUCGUAUUUAGGGGAGGUUCUGCCGAAAUUUCGGUAGAAUUUACCCGGGUCGAAAUUCUUAGAUAGUAAAUUCUAGGAGUCUAGGCCUAGGGUUAUUUAUUAAAUGUUUUACUUUUUCUGAUUUAAUUGUUUCCGUGAUUAAAUUAAUCCGUCAGUUCGGCUCGCUCCACCUUAGGCAUCGGAACAGAGCUAAGAGGUCGUCAAAACUGUGAGUUAAAGUCAUAUAUAUGUUGUACUUGUGCGACAUGCUAAGUUCUGAUUAAAUAUUGUUUAUUUAAUUAGUAUUUAUAUAUGUUUCAUUUUCUGCAUUAUGGCUAUUGUGAUUGCAUGUUGAUUUGGGAAGAGACGGCAGUAAAAUAUGUCACCUGAUGGGUUGCGUCAGGACCGCGUGCGCACCAGUAUGAAUUUGAGUUAGGUAAUAGAAGAAUGGUUUAGGACUUGUCCUGAUCGAGUUUAAUUCUCUGGGCUGAGUAGAAUGAGUUUGCCGGAAUAAAGCUUCCUGGUUGAGCAUUGCUCUCUGGAUGCCUGCUUUAUUGGAAAUUUAAGUGACCAGACUUGAUUUAAGGAUCCUGGUCAAGCUUCGCUCUCUGGGCGCCAAUUCUGUUGGAACGAGAGAGCCGAAAGGCUAAGACUGUUUAGUAAUGGAGAUUAAGGUUCUACUGAUGUACUCUGUCUUAUAGUGUGGUUAGUUUUUCCACAAUUCUUUUCAUCUAGCAGCCUGAUUUUUCAUCUUCGGGUUUAGUGCAACUGAUUUUAUUGGUAUGUUGACUUUUAAAAUUCUAGAAUCUCCGCAGUAGAAAUUUCAGAUUUAUCAUUUUAUAAUUUCAUGUAAAUUAUGGUCUUGCCUAUUCAUAUUGGCAGUCCAAAUUCUAAAUAUGUAGAACCUUAUGGUUAAGGUUAAUUGUGGAUCAUUACUUUUGGGUUGAAAUUUGAUUAAGUUAGUGAA